rnacentral:rRNA from 1 species
UACAGAGGGUGCGAGCGUUGUCCGGAAUCACUGGGCGUAAAGGGCGCGUAGGCGGCUCAGUAAGUCUGCGGUGAAAGCCCGGGGCUCAACCCCGGGUCGGCCGUGGCAACUGCUGGGCUGGAGCACUGUAGAGGCAGGUGGAAUUCCGGGUGUAGCGGUGGAAUGCGUAGAUAUCGGGAGGAACACCCGUAGCGAAGGCGGCCGACUGGACCACACCUGACGCUGAGGCGCGAAGGCCAGGGGAGCGAACGGG